GUCCAUCACGUUCAAGGUUUUGGAUGGGGAGCUGUUGAACGACUACAAGAGCUACAAGUUCACCACACAAGCGAUACCAAAGGGGGAGGGCUGCUUGGUGAAAUGGACCGCUGAAUAUGAGAAGGCAAGUGAGGAUGGAUCAGAUCCCCGUGGCUACCUGGAGCUUGCAGUUAAUAUCACCAAAGAUAUCGAAAGUCACCUUCUCAAUGCAUAACGCCAAGACCAUAUGUACCGUUUGCUAGUAUUUCUCUCUUAAAUAAAGUUUGGAACUUGGAUGUGCAUCUAUGUACUAUCUCGACCUUUUAAUAAACGCAAAUUCCAGCUGUACUGGAGUUGGUGACUAAUGCCGAGAAGACAAACUAGGUUCCCGAUCCUCAGUUAUUUAUGCAAUAAUAUUAAUUAGUGCAUGCGUGUGAUUAGUUGUAUGGUUCUGGGAGUUGCUUUGUGAUUGUUAAUCGGUGUCUUUUGUAGUGGGAUUAUUACAUGCAUGUAAUGUGAAGAACAUAUGAUCCAUGAGGAAAUAAAUUAAAUGAAAAUUACCCAGGCUCCAUCAUGAGGAGCCUUUGAGCAUGCCCACAAGCCUACGUUCCUGCAUUCAAGUCACAUAUGUGAAAAUUCCACUUUGCACAUAAUCUAAAUAAUUUAUCUAAAAAUCUAAGAAGUAAUCUCUCUCUCCAUCUAUGUCUCUCUCUCCCCAUCUAUAUGUACCUCAAAUGAAGAGGUAAGGUAAUGUAAAAUCCCCACCUCAAAUUUAGGGAUAUUUAUAUAAUUUGAAAAUUUUAAAAAGACCUACAUUAAUUUUGUAAAUAUUUAUGUAAUCAACUUUCUCAGAUUAAUUAAAUAAAAAAUUGACCAAGAUGAUUAAAAAUGCAAAUUUGAUGAGGACAUGAAGUAAAAAGUGGUAGGGUUUAAGGACAAUGGCUUCUACUGAAUUUUGGUGAGGUGGUGAUACAAUGAGGAAAAUAGAUUAAUAAAGUUUAUCCAUGGAAAUAGAAAAUAGAAAACAAAAAAUAUAAAAUAAUAAUAAUAUUCAUGUUAAUCAUUUAAUAAAUAUAAUAAAUGCAAUUAUAUAUGCUAAGUGAAAAUAACAAUAUUAUUAUUAUUAUUAUUAAUGCUUAUGAUAGGUGAGAAUUAAGUCUUUUAGAAAUUUGAGUAAUUUUUUCAAGGUAAAGCUUAUAGUUCAUUAAGUCAUUUUAUAAUUCCUUAUAUAUUUUUUUAUUGAUUUUUAAAGUAUCAAAAUGUGUAAAUUCUUUAAAGUGGAUCAAAUAGUUUUUUUUUUUUUUGAAAUAUUUUGUGAUUUGUUUGGUUGUUAUGAAAGUGAAUUUUAUUACUUAAUUUAUUAUAAUGAUUUUAAAACUCUAGUUAUUAGUGGUUUUAGUCAACAAGGAUAAGUUAUUAACCUUCUUUACCUUUGGUCAGUGAAGGGAUGUAGUAUAACACUAGCCAAUAAAUGUGUCAUUGGUCUUGUAUACUAUUGAUUAGAAAUUGUUAUGUCCACCAAUGAGAGUAUUAAAGUGAGGUGAGCCACCUAAUGUAAGUCCCAAUAUUUGGGCACAACGUUAUUAUUAAUUAAUAAACAAAAAUAAAUAGUUUAUUUAUAAAAAUUUUUUUCUAAAUAUAAAUUGAGUAUGCAAAUUGUAUUUUUUAAUUCUAUCUUUAAAUUUAAAGUGUUUAAUCUUUUGAAGAAAGUGAAUUUAAUUUUUUGAAGAAAGUGAAUUUAAUUUUUGAAUUAAAUAAAUUAACCUGAUAAUUGAUUUUUAUAAAAAUUUGAUAUCUCUUAGAAUUUAAUUCUCUACAAUAUAUACCUGAUUUUUUUCAUUGAACUAUUUUUUCUUAUUGAACCAUUGAAGUCACCCUUCUUUAUUAUUCCCCUUUUCAUAUACAAAUGGUAUAAGUGAGAAGGGAUUACGGGAGGAGAAAUGUUUCUAUUAUAAACAACUUUGGAAUUGAAUUAUGUUGGAUUGUGAAACGUGAAUCGGUUUAAUUUAUUGUAUUUUGCAAGGAAUGCUAGAGGUCGAGUGUCUAAUUGAGCUUGCGGGGAUCAAGAGUCUUGAUCGGUUCGUUGGGACUUGGGAUUGAGUUGUCCAAUCAGCUCAUGGGGUUAAAGGAAUAUCCUUCGAUUUUUUUUAAUACGAUGAAUAACGAGUUUGUCCUAAUUGUAUAUUUAAUCUUAUUAUAAUUUAAAGUUUCUUUUUAGAGAGUGUGUGACUGCAAUCGAAAGGAUAAUGAGUGUUUAGUACUCGUCUUAUUUUUUUCUGAACCAAAUUAAAAAUCUAUUGUUUUUCUUUAUUUUCUAAUCGUGUGUGCAUGAUUUGAUCAACAAAUUAUUUAUAGGAUUGUUUACUUAAAUUUGAUUGUAAUUUAUUUAAGUUUUUAGGAGAAUCAUUAAAUUUAUUAUUACAAUAUUUUAUUAGUUUUGAAUUUGUUAUUUAAAGUGAUUCAUUUACUUGGUUCAAAGGUUUGACAUAUAAAGUCACCGUGGUUCCCUUGGUGUCGCGGGUGAUUUUGUAAGUGCCUUCGGACUACAGAAUAUUAAUUAACCUACCAAUCUUCAAUGUAAUCUAAGAUGCAGAAAGAUCUUGUGGGUUAAGGUCAAGUGGGCGCUUCAAUAUUUAUCAUGUCUUCAAAAAAAACUUCAGGGCCCCAGUCCAGAUUCUCAGAUAUGGAUUCUAACAGUUGCUACCAAUCACGGGGGUGAAAACAAAUCAGUGUCGCAGAAAUCGCUAUCAAUGUGGUACUGGAAAAAAAAGAAGAGAUUCCUCCACUUGUUCUUGAAAUUUAUCUGAACGCAUGCAAUAAAUCAAUGCUCCAUAAUCUCCUGCACAUGCAAAUUAAAAUCAAAAUCAGGCCAUUGGCCUCUCACAUUACCAUUCUUGGCCGUUUUCUGGUGUGCAUAUAAAGAGUAAUAACCACACCAUCCAUCUUUUACUCUGGUUGUCACACUCCCACCACUCUCCCACCACUUCUUCCCUAAUCUCCUAACAUCAAAUACAAAAAUGCCACAUCCUUAUUAUUGAAAAUUAAAUUCCCAUACAUAUAAAUCUUAUGCCAGAUUUUUUGUUGAUUGGAUGAUAUUCGGCCAUAUAAAAUUCAGUAUCAAUCACAAACAUUCGUUAUCCAAUCUUGAUACCGAAGAGGAUAGAGUAUCAAUCCAUCUAUGGGCCCGGUGCACCAGGCCUUCCGCCUAUAAAAGUUUUCUAGGGUGGUGAACUAUAUUCUUCAAACACAGCCUUGGCUAGUUACUAUCUGGUUUCCAAAGAAAGAAGAAAUGGCUCAGAUAGAUAAGAUGGAAACCCAUGUAGAGAAAAAGUCCCCUGCCAAUGAGUUCUACGAGGUCUUCAGCAGCAAAGCUCAUCUCAUUCCCAAGGCCUGCCCUGACAAAAUCAAGAGCAUCGAAGUGGUUGAAGGUGAUUGGAAGAGUGUGGGCUCUGUCAAGCUCUGGACUUACUGUAUCGGUAAGGCAACGCUAACCAUUAUUCCCAUGCCACCCUCAAUCAAACAAAAUAAUACACUCAGCACAUGGACCUUCUUGUUUUUAAUUAUUAUUGCUGUGGAAGAUAAUAAUAACAAAACAAAGGGAAUGACCCCUUCUGAUACGGGUGCCUCCUCAUAUUAGUUUUUUGAAGUUCUCCAUGCAAACUAAAGUAGAAAUCAAUCUUUAGGCACAUCCCUUAUCUGAGCUUCACAUGACCUUAGUUUCAUUUUAAAUUAACCUGCAGGAGGAAAUACUUCGUCUAGCAAGGAGAGGGUGGAAAAGAAAGACGAUAAGAACAAGUCCAUCACUUUCAAGGCUCUGGAUGGAGAGGUCAUGAAGGAUUUCAAGAGCGUCAUCUCCAUCCUUGAAGUGAGUGCAAAGGAUGACGGCAGCCUGGUGAAAUGGACUUUGGAAUAUGAGAAGUCAAAUGAGAAACUCCUACCUCCAGAUGCUUACCUCAGCCUUGUAAUUAGUAUGAGUAAAGAAAUCGACGCUUACCUUCUCAAGGCAUAAGCCGCAUAACAAGCCCUAUAUCCUUGACUUGAUAUGAAAGCAUCCUAGCCUGGGUCCUCCUGGGAAUAACGGAGUUGCUAUGCGUACCUCCAUAUUAUAUUAUCGACACCUACUGGCUACUGCUGUACUCCAUGUAACUUCUUGCUGUACUUAAUUAUAUGAGCUUCCUGAAUUAAUGUUGGAAUGAUAAAUCAAGCUUUAUGGUAGAAUCAAAUGAUUGCUCUAUCAUGGAAUAAAUUUCGCAAUAAAAAUAAAUAUUAGAGGAGAGUUAUGAAACGAAGCUUUUUUUUCUGCAUCAAAUUAACUUUUCAUACACUGUUUUUAAAACAAAUCAACAUACAAUGAUCUUAUGUUGUACCUUUUCCGUUGCAGAUUGCUUUUAAAAAUGUUCUCCCCACAGGCACUUCUAUGGUAUCUUUUCAAAAUUGCUAUUAUAUAUGUUUAAUUAACCAUUCAUUUUGGUCUAAAGCUAGGACGAACUUCUAAGACUGCCACGGAGACUCUGGAAAUCAACAGAUGAAGAAAAAAAUAAAAUAUAUCCAUGACUUCCAAGGUUUUGGAAGCAGAGGUCAUGAAUCAUUUCAAGAAGAUUCAAGUCAUCCAUGCAAGUAACAGCAAAGGAUAAGCGCAGCUAGGUGAAAUGGAGACUGGAUAUUGAGGGUCACUAUCUCAGAUUCUCAAGGCAUAGCAUUAAAAACAUAUCCUUUAAUUGGUAGUAUAAUCUCAAACUUGUAUGUAAAGACCAGACCGUGGAAGUGCAUAUAUGCAUUUUAUUCUUCAAUAAGCGCAGGCUUAGGGGGUAGUUCAAUAACCUCUGGGCUUAGUCAAUCCCGAGAAGAUAUUAAUAAAUUUCCCUGGAUUAUUCCUCUCAUGAAUAUCAGUGCCUGUAAUUUGGUUGUGUGCUAACGGGAGUUGCCUCUUGCGAUCGGUUGGGUUCUUUAAUAAACGCAUUAUUAGGUAUGAAUGAUCAGGAAAUUGAUAAGUAAAAAACAAUUUAAUUAUUUCACUUAAGUCAUAAACCAUUAUGAGGAGCCUUGGAAUAUAUGCAUGAGUCUAGAUUCUCGCAGCCACUAAUCACGUAGUCAAAAUUGGCCAGUCGCAAACAUUCCAAUCAUUCUUUAUGAUAAGAAAGAAGAGUUCACUCUUCUUUUUCUCGAGUUUUUUAUUUGGAGAGAGCAAUUUAUCAGCCUCACAUUUUGAGACCUUUCUUGGCACAUCACUUUCAGAAUCUGAUUUCCUAGCUCCACUAUAGAAGUAAAGCCAGUUGGGUAUCACAUUCUUGUUUUAUGUCUCCUUGAGUGGGUCGGGUGUAUAUAAAAAUUUGCCAGUUGAAGAUUUUCUUUGUUAUGCUAGUCUUUCUUUUUCUAACCUCCUGAUAUCAAAUGGGAAAAUGCCAUAUCGUUACUGGACAAUUGACCCAUAAUGGAGAGACUUUUGUUGGUUGGACUUGGGCUUUUAUAUAACUCAGCAACUAUCAUAAUUAUAGGAGAAAUUUGAAGUAACCAUAUUGAUUUGGGUCUACCAAGAAGCAAGGUGAAUCGUAACAUAUCAUGCAUAUAACUUGAUUCAAUUAUUUUAUAUUCUACUUGUUUCUUAUGUAUUUUUACUUUUAUCAAAUAGUUUAGAUAUCAUUACCAAAUAUUCUCCUGACAUUUUCCUAUUAUUUCUGUAAGAUGCUAUAAUCUACACCCAAAGUAGUGGACCACUUACACUUUAUUAUGUACUAACCACGAUCAUAACUUACAUUCUCCACCUUGGCCUCUCUCUUAUCCCAAAAAGUAAAGACUCAGGGUUCGUAUCCCUUCCCUUCUGUCUAUAUAGGUCUAAGAGUAGUCAAGUGUUUCCUUCAAUAGCCUUCAUAUUCUUGGCAGUAACUAGGUACUUGGUUUUCAAACACAACAAAAAUAAUGGCUCAAAUUGCCAAGAUGGAGGUCCAAGCAGAGAUCAAGUCCCCUGCCAGUAAGUUCCACGAGGUCUGUAGCCGUAAAGUUUAUCUCGUACCCAAGGCUUGCCCUGAAAAAAUUAAGAGCAUUGAAGUAGUUGAAGGUGACUGGAAGACUGUGGGCUCUGUCCAGCUUUGGACUUAUUUCAUCGGUAAGGCAAAAUCCAUCAUUCCACGCCUCCCCCAACAAACACAAGGACACAGAGCUCAAUUGUACUUCUAUUAUUAUUACUAUUAUUAGGAAAUAAUGAUAAUCUAAUGGUAAUGUGACUCUACUCAUGCCGAUAUAAACCCCGUAAUCUUGAUCUCAAAUUGCUAUCAAACAAAAGAAUAUCAAAUAAAGGUAAAGUGUGUCCCCUAUAUUUAUACGUAGAUAGAUGAGUUCUAAGCUUAGCACCAUGUUUUCCAUUUGAAAAACAGGAGGAAAUACCGAAGAGGCUAAGUUGGUGGUUGAAAGGGUAGACGAGGAAAACAAAACGGUCACUAUGAACGUUGUGGAAGGAGAUAUCGUGAAGUAUUUCAAGAUCUUCAAGUGCACUAUUCAAGUAACCGUAAAGGAUAAGGGCAGCUUGGUGACAUGGAGUGUGGAAUAUGAGAAGCUAAAUGAGAGUGGCCCCGCUCCAGAUGCUUACCUCAACUUUGCAAUGGGUAUCGUUGAGAACGUGGAUGCUUACCUUCUCAAGGCAUGACAACAAAGGCGUAUUCAUGAGUCAUGACAUGGUAUGAAGCACUGGUACAACAAAAACUUGGGAAUAAUGUACCACACGCCAUGUCCUCAACUUCUACUGGUCAUCGCUAUAAUAUUAAAAGUAACUUCUUAUUCUACUUAUAUACCUUCCAAGUACUUUGUGUCUUGAAUGUUAUUAUCUAAAAAUAAAAAUAGAAAAUCUCGAAGAAGAGCAUUGUCCUUCGACACUUUUCUUUCUUUCUUUCUUUCUUCACUGCUGAGAAUCUCAACGUACGACUACCAUUUGCAUUAUGGACCCAUGACUGCCAUCCUUUGACCACAUUUGUUGCCCUCCCACCAAACUCCUACGCGUCAAAAUUUCUAUUGUUGCUUGAACAAUAUUUUCAUUUGAAAAACAAGGAAACGAUUUAAAAAUUCUUAUCUCAUGUCUAGUUACCCCGGUCGACCAUAUAAAGUACCACUUGAUCACUCUAGUCUCCUUUGCUAGCCCAUGGGCAAUGCAAUACCCAGCAGGUCCCAGUAACCAACUCUAUGUUCCUCCGAAAAUGAAACAAAUCAGGUCGUUUCAGGGAUGCAUUUGAUCUCACCCUUUUGUUUUGUGUCCGUUAUUUUUUAUUUUAAUAUCACAUGUUUAUAUUUUAAUCUCAUUCUUUACACCUGGAUUUGCUGAUAAAGGCAACUUUCUUUUUGAGCUUUGAUCGAGAUUUUUAUGAAAUUCCUGUGAUAUUACCGUCCUGCUCCUGCUUAAGAAUGUAACUUUGAUUUUGCUUUUAGUGAAGUCUUUAGGUGUUGUUUAUUCCCCAAAAUCUUUUGAUGUUUCUGAAAUUGCUUCAGUGGACUUUGAGAGGUUGCAGGUACCUCUUUUCUCCUGAAAUAGAAUUUGUUUCAGUGGAGCAAGACAACAGGAUGAGCAAAAAAUAGAACCAAUUUUAUUGAUAUAUAUCAGGUUUUUGAGACGUUGAAGAACAUUUCUAACAACUUUUUUUGAUGGGUGACCAAGCCUAUUAUGCCACAAUGCAUAUACAGAACAAGAAGAAAAAGAAGCAGGUGUUGGAACUACAGAAGAAUUGUAUACUAAGGGUUGUGUUGACAUACUGACAUAUGACUUAUGAGGAGUUGAGGGAGAGAAGCUGCCACUGAUUAUUAAUGAGAUCAAUUUGAGACUGAUAAAAAACAUAAAGACCAUCUUUAGGCCUACCCCUCCAGUAGCACUGUUUUGAAGUGAAAUUCAAAGAAGACAUUCUUUUGGGCAAAUUUUGACACACUGAGAAGGUUCUAAUUAGCAAUUUCAGGGACAUGAAGUGUUUUAAAGAGUAAUUUCAGCAAACAUAACUUCAACUUUACAUCCACCUGACCUCAUUAUUUCAGUUUGACAAGAGGGCUUAAUUAUAUCAGUAUGACUGCUAAGAAGACUUUGGAAUAUUAUAAAACGAGUCCAUCAAGUUCAAGGUUUGGAAUGGAAAGAUCAUGAGUAAUUUCACUACUUUUAAGCUGAAUAUGAGAAGGUAAAUGAGGAUGUCCCAGACCCAAUGCUUACUAAAUCAUUGAAGGUCACCUUCUUGAGGCAUAAUUCCAAUUCUUUUCAUCGAUGCUUCUUAGAUGUUAUAAAACAAUACUAUGAAAAUGAAAACGUAAUGUAAUUUUGUCAAAGCCUUUUCCUUAUUGAAGACUCUGGACUGAUUGCGUGGGUGCGCAACACCCACCAUAAUUCCCACACCAACGCCCAACUAACCAAAUCACGUAAGGCCUCACAUGGCCUCAUUAUUAUUUCUGUUGAAAGAUAAUACUAUAUUACAUACGAGAUGGCCAUUCUACCAGCCACCUGUAAAGUUGGUGAUAAAUUGAUACUAAAAAUAGAAGGAAAAUUAAGUUGAAAUUAAGGGUGUCUAUUUAAAUUUAAUUAUUCCCUAGAUAUGAUCUUUUGAUAUGAUUUGAACCCGUUAAUCAUUUAUUUUUAUAUAAAGAGACAAAAAUUCAAUUGUAUAAUCCAGGAUGAGUCACUUGGCCGGGUUUUCGACGACAGCUAAAUCAACCUUCAUUUAGUAAUGAUUGCCCAUGAAAUAAAUUAUCAUGUCUCCUCACAAUAUAAUAAACUAAUAAAAAAUAAAAGAAGAUCACAAAGAAAAGCAUCUUAGUGGAAGUUUUUUUUUUUUUUUUUUUCUUUCAUUUGUUGGUGGUGACACUCCGUGAAAUGUGAUCAACUAGCAUUUGAAUUACACAACCUAAUGCAAAUGAUAAAAAGCAUAAAUUACUUUAGAGUGUUUAGAAUUUGGAAGACUCUAGCUAGGAUGAUAUGGCAUGGGUCUGUGGCCGACAACCACCAAACCCAACGCUAAAUAAUUAUUAUUGAACCAUCAUCAUCAGUAUAAGCAACAUCAAACCUCUCCAUGUUAAACUGUACAUUUUAUUUCAUCCGGAUCUAAUAUCUAAUUAUAAAUGAUUAUGUAUGAGAUUGCAAUCCUUUGCUUAACUCUUUGAAAAUCUAAUUAUAAAUAUUUGGAAUAUCGAUUUCAUCUCUACCAUUAAAAGCAUAUGAAAAAAAUAUCUUGGUCUUUGAAUAAAAGUAAGUAUAAAUAAUUAGACUAGGGUACCAAAUGAUGAAAUCAAAUAUAAAUGAAUUAUAACCAUCAAAUUUCUAUUUUUCAUUAUUAAAUCAUUGGGCGCUCCAAUUUUUACAUGAUGUAUAACUAUUGACGGAAAUGUUAAUUAGGGAUGGCAACGGGGCUGGUUUUUUCGGGUACCCGCCCCCCCCUCCCCCCCCCCCGCCCCUAAUGGGACGGGGUUGAAAUUUAAUAAACGGGUUUUUAACGGGUAUGAGAUUUUUUUUUAAAACCAGGGGCGGGUUCGGGACGGGUUCGGGACGAGUUCGGGUAUUGCCCCAUUCCGCCCCGCCCCGCCCUGUUUACAUAUAAAAUCAAUUUUAAAAUUAAUUUUAUUUUACUAUUUUUAAUAUAUAGAUAAUAAUAAAAAAAUUAAUAAAAUAAGUUAUAAAAAAUAUAAUAAUUUUAUUAUUUAUAAAUAUAUUUAUUUUAAUGUAAUUAAAAAUUUUAAAAGUAAAUUUUUUUUUUUAUAAAAAAAAGGAGGCUAAACGGGGCGGGACGGGGAUGAGAAUUAUUUUUAAUAAACGGGGCGGGGUUGGGAUGGGGGCAACCCGUCCCGAACCCGCCCUGUUGUCAUUCCUAAUGUUAAUAUAAGGAUAUAAUAAUGGGUAAAAUUAGUUGAAAGUGUUUUUUUUAUGACAUAAAAUAAUUUUUCAAAUUUUAAUUUCUAUUUACUUUGUCUUCCCUUGUCAUGUAUCUUUGUAAUUUUCCGAUUUGUUUAUCAAAACAAUAAAUGAUGUCAUGUUAUGAUUUCUCUUUUUGUCUUCCUUUUUAAUUGACGUGUUUAUUGGAAUAAUAUAUUAUGUUAGACAAAAUAACACAUACCUCCACUGCCCAAAUCCCCUCCGUGACAAUGAACCCCAUCUUUAAGCAUUAUUAUAAAAUUAAGCAUAAAGUUAUUACAAGUUUCUUCCAUUUCACAUGCCUUUCCCAUAGAUUGAGUGGUGGAGAUGAUCAUUCUUGAACGAUUUAUAAUUUUAAUGAAUUCUGUCUAUUCUCAUAUCUUUUAAGAGGGAAUUCAAAUCAACUUAUCUUAUUUUCUCAACGCUACUUAACUUCCACGGCUUCAAAUUUACAUGAUCAUAUCAUUAUCAAUAACUUCGGCAUAACUAUUCAAAUUUUAAUAAGAACUUCAAAUCAUUGUUACCUUUAUUGCCUUAAAAAUCUUUUUCUUUGUCAAUGAUCCCUGCACGAUUAUUAAAUAAUAGGAUUGUUAUUGUCAUAUUAACUAAUUUUGAUAAUAUAGUCAUCGUCACGGCUGAGUGCCGUUUUCUUGGGAGAUUUUUCAUAAAUUUAAAUCAAUACCAGUUAUAGGAAAUGCGUCACAAAUUAGGAAGAUAUCGAGCUGGAAGCAGAUGAUAUAUAAUUCAUUAUUUUCUUCCUUAUUGAAGCUUGACAAACCAAUCCAAAUGCAUUAACGUGAGAAGCAAGGUUUUAUGCUCAUUUUCAAUGAACCUUGUCAACAUGCACGUCAAAAACAAUGAUUUAUUAACUACGUACAUGUAGAACUGCAUGGGAAAAAAAAAAUACAAUUAAGGCAUUGGGAUAUGAAUAAAACGCUUAACUUAAAAUUCAAAAUUCUCAAAACUACGUUUUUCACACCAAAAUGUUUCAUCCAGCCAACCUAAGACCGAGUGAAUCCUCCCUCUAAAGCACAUUGCCCAAGACUACAGGCAACGUAGUAAUUACCUAAGCAAAUACGUCAGAAUCAUACCAAUUUUUACCAAAGUGGGUAUCGGGAAGGAGCUUUGCCUAAUUCAUCCUUCUAUAUAUAAGGACAAGGUUAUCUACUUCUUCUCAUCACUGCCUUCUGUUUGAAUAUUUUGUAGUUAGUUUUAUCAAUCCAGCUAGUGUUAUUAUCAGAAAAACAUGGCUCUAACUGGUAAGUUGGAGACUGAAACAGAGAUCAAAGCACCUGCUGAUAAGUUCUUUAAAAUCUUCAGGAGCCAAGCACACCACCUUCCUAAUAUCUGCUCCGAUAAAAUACACAAAAUCGAGGUACAUGAAGGUGACUGGGAGACUCAGGGCUCCGUCAAGCAUUGGAGUUUGACCGUUGGUAAGGCAUCUCAAACUAAGAACCACAAAACACUAGCGUUAUAUUCUGUUAAUUAAAAUAAGUUAUUAUGUUUUUGUUUCAUUUCAUUGUUGUUUUCUUCACCUUUCAAUUAUUCUAUUAGAAUAAAAGCAUGCCUCUUUGUACAAUUUUUUUCUUGCAAAGAAGUGAUCGAGUCUGGGCCGCUAGUGACUAUGAUGGUUCUUAGGAAUGUACAUGACAUCUAAUAAUAGCUUCAACAUAUUCCAAUUAUGUUUAACCUCACAUUUUGGUUUCAACUAGGAGAGAAUUCUGAGAGUAUUAAAGAGACUGUGGAUCAAAUAGAUGAAGAAAACAGGUCCAUCACAUUCAAGGUUUUGGAUGGGGAGGUGCUGAAAGACUACAAGAGCUACAAGUUCACCACACAAGCGAUACCAAAGGGGGAGGGCUGCUUGGUGAUAUGGACCAUCGAAUAUGAGAAGGCAAGUGAGGGUGGCCCAGAUCCCCAUAACUGCCUAGAGUUUUCAGUUAAUAUCACCAAAGAUAUCGAAAGUCACCUUCUCAAUGCGUAACACCAAGGCCAUAUCCACCCUUUGCUAGUAUCUUGCUCGUAAAUAAAGUUUGGAACUUGGAAGUCCAUCUAUCUCUAUCUUUCAAUAAACGCAAAUUCCAGGUGUGGACUUGGUGAUUAGUGCCGAGAAGAUAAACUAGGUUUGCCUUGGUUAUUUGUGCAAUAAUAUUAGUGCAUGAGUGGGAUUGAUUGUAUGCUAUCUUGUCCGGGAGUUGCUUUGUGUCUUUUGUAAUGGGAUUACUACAUGUAAUGUGAAGACUAUAUGAUGCAUGGGGAAAUAAAUUAAGCGAAAACUUCCAUGGGCUCCAUCAUGAGGAGCCUUUGAGUAAGUCCACAAGCCUACAUUCUUGCAUUCUAGUCACAUGUGUCAAAAUAAGUCUCUACAAAUUAAAGUCUUAUUGUCAAAAUCCCACUUUACACAUAAUCUAAAUAAUUUAGCUAAAAUCUAAUAAGUAUGUCUCUCUUUAUAUGUACUUACCAUCCCAACUUUUAAAUUUAGGGAUAUCUAUGUAAUUUAGAUUUUAAAAAGAAAAUUUUAGGGAUAUUUACAAAGAUAAAUGAAAUAUUUUUGGUUCCGAUAACCAUUAUUUUUAUCUCAUUUUGGUUUCUUUGCGUUAUAAAAAAAAUGGUUUGUAGAGAUAAACUAGAGAAAAAAAAAAAUUAUACAAUGGUUUGUAGAGAAAUUUGAUUCGAAAAGUUAGAAAAGAUGAUUUGUUUUUUGCAUUUGCUUCAUUCUAAAAUUCAAUCACUAUCUUUUAUCUCAUUUUGGUUUCCCCACAUUAUCAAAAAAUGAAGGAUAAAAAUAAACUGGGGAAAAAAUUAUACAAAGGUCUCCGAGAACUUUGAUUUGAAGAGUUAGAAAAGAAGAAUUUUUUUGCAUUUGUUUCAUUUUAAAAUUCAAGGUUUUUGGAUUUCUAUUAUAUAUUAAUUAUGAGGAUAGUAGAAUAAUAAUAAUAAUAAACAAAAACUAGUUAUUAGUGACCUUGAUCAAUAGAGUAUAAGUUGUUGACCUUUAUUAUCUUUGUUAGAAGUAGUUAACGAUGCAAUGUAACCUUAGCCAAUAAAGAUGUUUUGAUAUACAUUGAUUGAAAAAUGUCCUUUUAAAACUAGUUAUUAUUGACCUUGGUCAACACAGAGGAUAAGUUGUUGACCUUUAUUACCCUUGUUAGGAGUAGUGAACGGUGUAGUAUAACCUUAGUCAUUAAGGAUGUUAUUAGCCUUUUGCUAUAUCAUUGAUUGAAAGUUGUCCUAUCCACCAAUAAGGAGAAUGAAGGCUAGCCACCAAGUACUAGUUUUAGUAUUUUGGCACAAUAUUAUUACUAGUGAGUCAAAGUGAAAUAUUUGUUGAUAAAACUUUUUUAAUAUGAAUUGAGUAAGCAAAAUAUAUUAUUUAAUUCUAUCAUUAAAUUGGAAGUGUUUAAAUUUUCAAAAACAAUUAUUUUAAUUAUUGAAUCAAAUGAGCUUACAUGUUAAUAGACUUUUAUAAAGAUGUGGUAUCUUCCGAAAUUUUAUUAUAUAUAAUAAUUGAUCUUCCUUAUACUAACUUUUAUCAUUGAGCCAUCGAGUUCACUUUUCUCUGUUAUUCUCCAUUUCAAUUAUAAAUGAUAUAAAGAGGGAUGAGGUAAGAAAAAUAUUUCUAUUAGAGACAGCUUUGGAAUUGAUUUAUUUUAGGAUUAUUUACUAGACUGAAUUCAUUUAUAAUUUCUAAAUUUCUUUUUGAAGAAUUUGAGAAAAUUAAAUUAAUUAUUGAGAGAUUUUAAUUAGUUUUAAAUUUGUUACUUAAAGUCGUUCACAUGUUGGAUUCUAAUAUUUGAUACGUGAAACUAGCAUGAAGGGCUUGACCUCCGGGUUUGGGGCGUCGCAGCUGACUUUAGAUUACAGAAUUAUUAAUCAACCUACCAAUCUUCAAAGCAAUCUAGGAUGCAAUAUGGUUUUGUGAUUUAAGAUCAAGUGGACGCUUCAUUUAUUAUGUCUUCAAAAAAACAUUUUGGGCCUCAAUUCGAGAUUAUCAGAUAUGGAUUCUAACAGUUGCUUCCAAUCAAAUCAGUGUCACAGAAAUCGCUACCAUUGUGGUACCUGAAAAAAAAAAAAAGAGACUCCUUCCCUUAAUAUUGAAAUUUAUCUGAAGCUAUGCAGUAAAUAAAUGCCCCAUUUUGUGCGUCAUAAUGGGGGAUCACAUUCAGAAUCUUCUGCACAUGCAAAUUAAAAUCAAAAUCAAGCCAUUGGCCUAUCACAUUACCAUUUUUGGCCCUUUUGUUUUGUUGUUUUUUUCUUUUUUUGGCGUGUAUAUAAAAAGCAACCACAUUAUCCAACUUUUAUUGAAAACACCAUAUUAUCAGAUACAAAAACGCCACAUCAUUAUUAUUGAAAAUUAAAUUCCCAUAUAUAGAAAGCCACAUAAAAUUCAGUGCCAAUCACAAACAUUCGUUGAUAUUCACUAGGAUAGAGAUAGAGUGCCCAUAUAUGGACAGUGCACCAUACCCGCCGUGAAGUGAUUGGAAGAGUGUGGACUAUGUCAAGCUCCGGACUUAUUUGUAUAGGUAAGGCAACGCUAACCAUUAUUAUUCCCAUGCCACCCUCAAUCAAGCACAGUCAUACACUCGGCACAUGGCACUUCUUGUUUUUAAUUAUUAUCAUAGUGAACAAUGUUUUCAUAAUCGGAUCGAUCAUCGAACCGAAAAAGUUAUCGAUUUACAGUCCAUUAGUCGAACCGACGGUCGAACCAAUAACAUCAUAAAUAUGUAAUUUAUAUAUUAUUAAAAUUAAAAAUAAUUAUACAAAUUUUAAAAUAUAUAUGAAUAAAUUAAAAAUCAAUAAUAUUAUUUUGUAUCUUUAAUAUUAUCAAAUUAAAUCAUAUUAAUAUUUUAAAUUUUAUUGAAUGAAAUAUAUAUAAUAUUUAAAUAUGAAUAUAUUAAAAAUGAAAAUUUAAUUAAACUAAUUUUAUAAUUUUUAAAAAUAUUAUAUUAUUUUUAUUUAAUAUUAUAAAAAAAUUUAAAAUCCAAUAUAUAUUAUUUUGUUUGGCAUAUUAAAUAAUAAAAGAUGUAUAGCCGAGUGGUCCUAGGUUGGUUAUAGACCUUGAGGUCCAAGUUCAAAUCCUUUGGUGGAUUUGUUAAUUUUUUUUUUCAUUGAUUAGGUUAGUUAGCAAUCCCACACUAAGAGGAAUAAGGAUGCUUAUAAAAGCUAGCCUCAUUAUGGGCAAAGGCAUCACCUCAUCUGGUGGGCUUAAGACUCAGCCCAUAAAAUGGUUGGGUGCGGUGUGGGCUUUGUCACAUUAAGACAGGGCCCAUCAUGGGCUUUUGCUAAAUUUUUUUAUACAAGGGAGCCUUCCAUGCUUGCAAAAUGGUGGGAUAACUUGAACCGAUCGAUUCGCUCAAAACCGUCUGAUUUCGUUGGGUUAUCGAUUCAAUCAUCGAUUUAGGUGAUUUGUGACCGGUCCAAUGCUUAGACGGUUUAAUAAAGUAAAUCUAAUAAAAAAUGUGAUGGAUCGACGAUUGAACCAGUUGGAUCAGUCGGUCCCACCCGAUUUUUAAAACAUUAGAUAAUAACAAAUUAAAAGAAGGGUGUCUCCUCAUAUGAGUUUUUUUGAAGUUCUCUACUCUUGGAGUGACUGAAAGGAUAACUGCAGCCUGGUGAGAUGGACUUUGGAAUAUGAGAAGUCAAAUCAGAGGCUCCUUCCUCCAGAUGCUUACCUCAGCCUUGUAAGCAUGAGUAAAGAUAUGGAUGGUUUACCUUCUCAAGGCAUAAACCGCAUAACAGCAAGGCCUAUAUCCUUGACUUGGUCUGAAAGCAUCCUAGCUUGGGUCCUUCUGGGAAUGGGAUUGCCACACGUAUGACCUCUGUAUCAUCAGUUUUGGGGCAAAAUAGCCAUUUUAUGUAUAAAAAAAAAUAAGCUUUAGCCCUUUACAAAACUUAUGUUUAAACUAGCUCACAUAGAGUCAUGUCAUCAUUUUUCUUUUAAACUCAAUUAGACUUUAUUUUUUAACUGAAACUUCAAUUACCAAUUGAGAAUUCAUUUUUUAACUAAAACUUCAAUUUACAAUUGAGGUUUUAGUUAACUUUGUUUUAAAUUUAAAUAAAAAAUUAAAUUAUAAAUUAUUAUUGAAAUUUAAAAAAUAUAUUUUAAUAAUAAUAAUUUAUAUAUUUAAACUUAAAUAUCUAAUAUUACUUCAAUAAAGAUAAAUUGACAAAUAUAAUAAUAAAUAAAUAUUUUAUUUAUCAAUAAAUUAAUAAUUUUAAAAUAAUAAAGUUAUAUGAAAUCUAAAUAAGAUAUAAAAUUAUAUAAUUUGUUAAUUUAAGAUAUUUAAUUUUUUGUAUUUUUAAGAUAUUAAUUUAUUUGUAUUUUGACAAAUUUAUCUUUAUUAAAAUAAUAAUAUAUUCUUAAGUUUCAUAUAUAGAUUUUUUUAUUAUUUUAAAGCAUAUAUUUAUAGUUUACGUAAAAAAAUACUAUUAUUUGUACAUACAAUAUAUAUGCCUUGAAGAUACAUUUUGAAAUUAGUUAAUAAAAUUAAUUAGAAAAAAGUCUACUAUAAAAUUUAAUUUUUAAUAGUUUCAUCAAAGUCACAAAAAAUACUCAUUAAAUAUUUAUAUUAUGGAAAAAAAAUGCCCCUCCCUAAUAUUACAUGUGAUAUAACUUAAAUUAAUAAAUUGUAUAAUUUUAUAUUUUAUUUAUAUGUCAUAUAAUUUUAUUAUUUUAAGAUUAUUAAUUAAUUGAUAAAUAAAAUAUUUAUUUAUUAUAUUUAUCAAAUUAUCUUUAUUGAAGCAAUAUUAGAUCUUUAAGUUUAAAUAUAAAAUUUUUUAUUAUUAAAGUAUAAUUUUUUAAUUUCAAUAAUAAUUUAAAAUUUAAUAUUUUUAAUUAAAUUUUAAAGUAAAAAAAUAAAAUAACUGAAGUUUCAAUUGACAUAUCUUAUUUAGAUUUCAUAUAAUAUUAUUAUUUUAAGAUUAUUAAUUUAUUUAUAAAUAAAAUAUUUGUUUGUUAUUAUAUUUAUUAAUUUAUUUUUAUUGAAGUAAUAUUAGAUCUUUAAGUUUAAAUAUAUAAAUUAUUAUUAUUAAAAUAUAUAUUUUUUAUUUCAAUAAUAAUUUAUAAUUUAUUUUUUAAUUAAAUUUUAAAAUAAAAUAAAAAUUUUAACUAAAACCUCAAUUGUCAAUUGAGGCUUUAGUUAAAAAAUAAGUUUCGAUUGACAAAUGAUACUUCAAUUAAAAAAUGAAGUCUUAGUUGGUAAUUGAGACUUCAACUUAAAUUUUAAAAAAAAAAAAUUAUGACAUAACUCCUAUAUGUGAUAAUAAAGGAACUAGUUUAAACAUAAGUUUUAUAAAAGGGUUAAAACUUAUAUUUUUUUCUACAUAAAAAACUAUUUUGCCCUAAAACUCCCGUAUCGUCGACUAGCUACUGCUUUACUCCAUGUAACAUCUUGUCUACUUAAUUAUAUGAACUUCCUGAAUUAAUGCUGGAAUGACAAACCAAGUUUUAUUGAAAAUGGAAACCUUCUUAGAAUCAAACAUUUGCUCGAACAAAUUUCGCAAUAAAAAGAGGAGAGUUGUGAAAAGAAGCAUUUUUCCUGCAGCCAAUUACCUUUUCAUACAUUACUUUAAAACAAAUUAACAAAUAGUGAUCUCAUAUUUUACCUUUUCUGUUGCAGAUUACUUUUAAAAAUAUUCUCUCCACAGGCACUCCUACGGAAUCUUUCUCCAAAUCAAACUGUACAUUUUACUCAAAUUUUAAUAUCUAAUUAUAAAUAAUUAUGGGUGAGAUUGCAAUCCUUUGCUUAGCUCUUUGAAAAUCUAUGAUGAUACUCGGUAUUAAUAUUUUAUUUUAUUAAAGAUAAAAAUAUCAAAAUAAUUUUAGAACUUUUUAGUGGGGAUAAUACUUCCCCAUUAGGCUGCUUACAAGGCAUAAAUUAAUAUUUUUUUAAUUUUAAUAAAAGCAAUUUGGUACAGUUGACUUGAUUGAUAACUAUUUAAGAUAGGAUUUAGACUAAUUUAGAUUAAUUAGAUUGCAUUUACAGUUCCGUUACCUCGAAACAAAGUUGGUGCAACAUUAACCAUGAUUAUGGUGAUAUAUUUUAGUUUUAUAUUUUUUAAGGGGAUAAUUUUUUUUUUUAAUGGUUUGAUGUUAGCUUAUAAGAAAAACCUAAACCAUAAAAGCCGAAUCUUUCCAAUAUUGAUCCAAUUUCUAUCAUUAAAAAUAUAUGAAUAAAACUUUUGAUCCUUAAAUAAAAGUAUACAAACUAUCGUACAAAAUAAUGGAAUCAAAUAUACAAAAUAAGAUUAAGGAAAUGUUUGAUAAAACUUAAUAUUUAUUAUUUAAUAAUUUAAAUUAACUCUAAGUUAAAUUAUAUUUAAGUUGUUGACUUAAAACUUAUUAUUUAAUUUUUAUUUUAAGUAUUAAGGUUAUUUAAAAAAAUUAACUUACAAUUUAUAUUAAAUCAUCAAAUUAAAAUAUUUAUCUUAAUAAAUUAUAACUAAGACAAAUAAGGUUAAAUAACAAUGGAGGUUGUGAAGUCAUAAAAGAGAUCAUAAAUGUAAUUGAGAGAAAAAAAGACAAAAAUAUAAAAUGAAGAUACUGACUUAAAAAUAAAUAAAUUUUUUUAUUUAUUAAGUCUUUUAUUUUAAGUCAUACAAUAAAAUUAUUUUAUCAAACAUAUUUAAUUUAUUUAAUAAUAUAAUUAAAAUAUUAAGUCACUUAAAGUUAUUAAAUUGGUUUACCAAACACGUACUAACGUACAAAUAAAUAAGACUAAAAUAGAAAACAAUGAAACUUAAACACAUAUAUGACAUGGUCUAUUUAAUUGUAUUUUUUUAUAAAUGCCUCUUUAAUACUUCCCAAAUCAUAACAUUAAAUUUCUUAAAUUGAUAUAAAACAUUUUUUUUUUUCUANNNNNNNNNNNNNNNNNNNNNNNNNNNNNNNNNNNNNNNNNNNNNNNNNNNNNNNNNNNNNNNNNNNNNNNNNNNNNNNNNNNNNNNNNNNNNNNNNNNNACAUAUAUGACAUGGUCUAUUUAAUUGUAUUUUUUAUAAAUGCUCUUUAAUACUUCCAAAUCAUAACAUUAAAUUUCUUAAAAUUGAAUUAUAAACAUUUUUUUUUUCUAUGAUUGAAUCAUUUAGCACUCCAAGUUUUACUAUUGGACGAAAUGUUAAGGAUCUAAUAAAUGGGUAACAUUAAUUUGCUGAAAUAGUUUUUCUUAUUACUUAUAAUGGUUUUAAGAAUGUUGAAAAAAAAAUUCAUGGGAAAACAUUUAUCAAACUCAAAUUUUGAUUCCUAUUUACUUUAUCUUUCCUUGUCAUGUCUCUUUCUAAUUUUCCUUUUUUAGCGGUUUGUUUAUUAGAACAGUAUAUCAUGCCUGUGAUUCUCUUUCUAUCACUUCUUUUCAAUUGAUUUGUUUAAUGCAAUAAUAUUUGUUUAAUGCAAUAAUAUAUCAUGUUAGACAAAAUAACACCUACCUACUACCCAAAUCCCCAAUGUGACAAUGAACUCUAUCUUUAAGCAUUAUUAUAAAAUUAAACGUAAAGGAUAUUAUAAGUUUCUUCCAUUCCACGUGCCUUUCCCAUAUAUUGAAAGGUGGAGGUUAUCAUUUUUAAAAGAUCAAUAAUUGUAAUGAAUUUUCCAUUCCACGUGCCUUUCCCAUAGAUUGAAAGGUGGAGGUGAUCAUUUUUAAAAGAUCAAUAAUUUUAAUGAAUUUCAUAUAUUUGCAUAUUUUUUAAGAGGGAAUUCAAAUUAACUCAUCUUAUUUCUCAAUGUUACGUAACUCCUGCCUCAAAUUAAAAUCAUCAUAUCAUUAUGAACAACUUUGAUACAACUAUUCAAUUUUUAAUAUGAAUUCUUUCAUUCUCAAAUCAUUGUUCAAGUUAGCUUUAUUAACUUAAAAAAACUCAUUCUUUGUCACUACUCCCUCUAUGAUUAUUAAAUGAUAAAAUUGUCAUUGUCUUAAAAACUAAUUUUGAUAAUAUAUUCAUCAACAUAUUUACAAAUUUAAAUUAAUACAAGUUGUAAGAAAUGUAUCAUAAAGAAGAUACAAAACUAGAAGUAGAUGAUAAUUAAUUAUUUUUUUUCUUUAUUGAACUUUGACACCCCAUCCAAAUGCAUUAACGAGAAAAAUAGUGUUUUAUGCUUGUUUUCAAUUAAUCUUGUCAAUAUGUACAUGAAAAACAAUGAUUUAUGCUUAUAAAUCUUAUCAAUUCGCUUAUUUGUAUAUGUAAAAUGAAAUUAUUGAAACUACACGUAGAAUUGCAUGAGGAAAAAAAUACAACUACUGCAUUUAUAAAUGAAUAAAAGCUUGGCUUAAAAUUCAAAAUUCUCAAAACUAUGUUUUCCACACCAAAAUAUUUCAUCCAGCCAACCAAACACCGAUUGAAUCCUCCCUCUAAAGCAUAUUGCCCAAGAUUACAGGCAACGUAGUAAUUACCUAGGCAAGUACGUCAGAAUUAUAGCUUCUUUUUUUUUUUUGUUUUUUUUCAGUUCAUUGACUCGGCUCCACCCAACCACUAUCAGUAUCAGUUACUACCAGAGAGGGUACUGGGUACUGGUUACUGGGCAGGAGCUUUUCCAAAUUCACAACCCGUCUUCUUUAUAUAAGGGCAAGUUUAUGUAUUUCCUCUCGCCAUUGCCUUUUGUUCGAAUCAUUUGAAGUUGAUUUUAUUAAUCCAUCAGAAAAACAUGGCUCUAACUGGUAAAUUGGAGAUUGAAACAGAGAUCAAAGCACCUGCUGAUAAGUUCUUUAAAAUCUUCAGGAGCCAAGCACACCACCUUCCUAAUAUCUGCUCCGAUAAAAUACACAAAAUCGAGGUACAUGAAGGUGACUGGGAGACUCAGGGCUCUGUCAAGCAUUGGAGUUACACCAUUGGUAGGAUAUGCAACUCGAACUCAGAACCCCAAAACACUAGCUAGCAUUAUAUUCCGUUAAAAUGUUUUUUGAUUUUUUUUCCCCAUUUCAUUGUUGUUUUCUUCACAUUUUUUUAUUCUUUUAGAAUAAAUGCAUGGCUCUUUGUACAAUUUUUCUUUUUUUCUUGCAAAGAAGUGGUCAAGUCUGGGCCGCCAGUGACUAUGAUCGAUGGUUCUUAGUAAUGUAUAUGGCAUCUAAUAUUAGCUUCAACAUAUUCCAAUUACUAGGAGGGAAUUCUAAGAGCAUUAAGGAGAGUGUGGAAUCAAUAGAUGAAGAGAACAGGUCCAUUACGUUCAAGGUUUCGGAUGGAGAGGUGCUGAACGACUACAAGAGCUACAAGUUCACCACACAAGCAAUACCAAAGGGAGAGGGCUGCUUGGUGAAAUGGACCAUUGAAUAUGAGAAGGCAAGUGAGGAUGGGCCAGAUCCCCAUGACUACCUGGAGUUUGCAGUUACUGUCACCAAAGAUAUCGAAAGUCACCUUCUCAAUGCAUAACACCAAGUCCAUACAUACCGUCUGCUAGUAUCUCUAUUAAAUAAAGUUUGGAACUUGGAAGGGCAUCUACGAUCUCUAUCCUUCAAUAUAUGCGAAGGCUUAGGGGAACUUUUAGCAGCUGUGGCUUGGUGAUUAAUGCUGAGAAGAUAAACUAGGUUUCCCUUAAUUAUUUGUGUAAUAAUGUUAGUGCAUGCGUGUAAUCGGUUGUAUGCUUGUCUGGACUCUAGGGGUUGCUUUGUGAUUGUUAAUUGGUGUCUUUUGUAAUGGGAUUACUACAUGUUAUGUGAAGACUAUAUGAUGUAUAAGGAAAUAAAGUGAAAAUUACCAGGGGCUAACUCCAUCAUGAGGAGCCUCUGAGUAUGUCCACAAGUCUACAUUCUUGCAUUCUAGUCACAUGUGUCAAAAUCAGACCCUAACAAAUUACAGUCUUGAUCAUUGAAGGGGUAAAAUCCCACUUUACAUAUAAUCUAAAUAAUUUAGCUAAAAUCUAAUAAGAAUAUCUCUCUCUACAGGUAUGUAACCUUCCAACCUUGAAUUUAAGGAUAUUUAUAUAAUUUAAAAUUAUAAAAAGAAAAUUUUGGAUAUAGGACAAAUUAAUUUUUUUUUUAAAAAAUAACGAAAGUGAAUGAAAUAUUUUUGGUUCCUAUGACCACCCACUUUUUUUACUUUUUAUUUUUAUCUCAUUUUAGUUUCUCCACGUUAUAAAAAAAUGAAAAGAUAAAAUAGAGAGGAAAAAAGACAACUUGGAUUUGUAGAAGUUUCUUUCUUUCAUGGUGUUUUUCUGUUCUGUUUUUGCCUUUGUUUCAUUCUAAAAGUCACUCACUAUCUUUAUCUCAUUUGGGUUUCCCCGCGUUAUCAAAAAAUGAAAAUAUAAAACAAAGAGGAAAAAAAAACCUAUACAAAGGUCUUUGGAAUUUUGAUUCAAAGACUUAAGAAAAGAAUAAUAAAUUUUUGCAUUUGUUCCGUUCUAAAAUUCAAGGUAAGUUUUUCACAUAUAAUUUUUUUUUAGGAAUUCUAUUAUCUAUUAAUUAUGAGAAUAGUAAAUAUAUAUAAUAAUAAUAAUAAUAAUAAUCAUCAUCAUCAUCAUCAUCAUCGUCAUCAUCAUUAUCAUUUUAAAACUAGUUAUUAGUGAUCCUAAUCAAUCGAGAACAAGUUGAUUUUCAUUACCCUUGGUAAUGGUAGUGAUAAAAUAUAUUUUUAGUUAAUAAGGGUGUAAUUAGCUUUGGGGUUUCAUUGAUUAGAAAUUAUUUCAUCUACUAGUAAAAAAAACAAAGUAAAACUAACCAUCAAGUGCAAAUCAUGAAUUUUUUUAAAUAUGAAUUGAGUAUACAAAGUAUAUUAUUUAAUUAUAUAUUUAAAUUGAAAGAGAUUAAUUUUUCAAAAAUAGUGAAUUUAAUCAUUGAAUCAAAUCAACUUACCUGUUAUAAAGAUGUGAUAUGUUCCAAAAUUUAGUUGUAUACAAUACGUGACCCUUCUUAUUAAACUAUCCUUUAUCAUUGAGCUAUCUAACUUACCUUUCUCAAUUAUUAUCCUUUAAGGUACAUCAAAUAUUGGUAUAAAUGAGAAGAGAUCGAGAUAUGAAAAGUAUUUCAAAUAGAAACAUCUUUAGAAUAGAUUUAUUUUUUAGGAUUGUUUACUUAGAUCAAGUUUAUUUUAAUUUCUAAAAUGUUUUUUUAAGUGUUUGAGAGAAUUAAAGUUAUUAUUUAGAUAUUUUAAUUAGUUUUGGAUUUGUUUGUUAAGGUCAUUCAUACAAAGAUGAUAUCCAUUUCUGUGUUAUAUUUUAUUUUAUUUAUUUAUUUCUUAUUUCAUGUAUUAAGUUUGAUAAAACUGAAGGUGAAAUCAACAUUGAAUUGCUAAAAAUGUCAAUUACUAUUGUUAAUUUAUCACAAUUAUGAUUUUUUAAUUGUAGCACAUAGUAAAAUUAUUAUUAUUAUUAUUAUUAAUAUUUAUACUCUGGUCGAACUUAUCCAUGGCCAAUCCAUCAUGUAGGCCAAUUUUGUCAAACUUAUCCAUGGCCCAUCCAUCAUGUAGGCCAAAUUUUUAUUAGCAUUUUUGGGUCAUAACUCUAGAUGCUGACAUUAAAGCAUUUCUGGCAUAAUAAUUAUUGGAAAAGGAUGUCUCCUCUUUCAUGGAUCACAACCAAUACAGCAAAGAUGAUGAUAGAUAGCAUCCUUAUCACCUCAUGUGUCUUGACCUCUUCUUCAAGCUUGAGUGUCUUGUCCUAUAUUUAACGCAUGUACCAUUGCCUCCAAGAUAUGGUGACAGGAAUUAUAUAGCUACUGACUAGCUAGUCUUCACUCCAAAAAUAUGAUGGCCACUUUUUUGAAAUAUAACUCUUUAUCCUAUUGACUUAAACUCACCACCUCUUUCAGAUCCUCCACAAGGAUCAACUUAUUAAGAGUUUGGUCGAAGUUUGAUCCACUUUUCUAAAUGAGCAAUGUUAAAUUAUUUUAUUCAAACAAAUUUGAUGAUCAAAUAUCUCUUAUUUUCUCAAAUUUAAAUAACAUUCCUUUAUAAAAAUAAUUAUAAAAUUUAUUAUAAUCACUCAUUUUCAAUGGCUCAUUAGUAGAUGUUCAUUGUAUUAAAAUACAUUUAUAUGAUUAAGAAAAACUUAUACAUUUCUAUUUUUUUUUUCUAUGCAUAAUUUAUAAUAUCUCAUAUAGGAUUUAUUGGGUUUAGAAACAUGUAAUAUUUAUAUAAUAGUGAGUGAAUUAUUAUAAAUGGUAUGAAAAUUGAUUUUCAACCCUUUAUGAGAAUUUAUUUAAUACUACAAUAUAUGACUCUAUGUUUGAUUAUGUAAUCCUAUAAGACACGAUGUCCAUUAAGUUCAUUAUAUUAUUUUUAAUUAUGUAAAAAUAUUUUAAAAUUAAAAAAAUUCAUUAAACUUAGUGCAGACGCUAUCUAUAUAAAAGGAAAUAAAUGGUUAUACUUCAUCAUAUUCGUUUCUCAUAUUUGAUAUAUAUCAAUUUCAGCGACUAUUAUUCAACAUUGCCCGAAGCAAUAGGUGCCUCACUUUUACAAAGAAAACUUCCUCUAUUGAUAUUUCUCAAAUAUAAAUUCAUGUCAUGGACUCAUGGUUAACAACCGAUAGAUCCUAAAACAAUUAGAUAUCUCAGAUAUUGAUUGACCAAAUGGACAACCGAUGCUAUAGUAAGAGCUGUUGCUGUUAUCUUUUAAUUUAAAUAUACACAAACGACAAAAUGCUUAACUAAUCCACCACCCAGGCGCCGGGCCACAGAAAUGAAAUACCGCCUACCCCAACAUUUUGGAAUUAAAAAUCUACACCACCCAGAUCUUGCUGUGAUUUGGUAAAUCCCGAGAAAUUGACAACCUUCCUACGCUGGGGAGGCGUGGUUCCAUUCAAUGCCAACAUUUUCGGAUGGGUCCAGAGAGUUGUACAGUGACUUUUAAAUAAAGAAUUGUUUUAAACCUUGACUUUGGGCUCUUUAUCAGGAAUAUGAAAAUAUUGGGCAAUGACUAGAUUCGAGAGCAGGUUGCAUGCAUAGAUAUCGCAUUAAUUUUUAGCAAUCGUUAUGACGAAAGAAAAUCUGCAGAACCAAGCGAAUUUUCCUAGUCAUCAUGAGAGACAUUAGACAAGGUUUUCAAUUCAUAAAAUUGCCUUAUCAUCUGGAAUUAAAUAUUUUCAAGCUAAGGAUGAGGUUCAAUCCGUACGGGGCAAUGAAAAUAUAUGGAUGCCCUAUAGAGUGGUUGAACAUUCUACAGUUUCGUCCCUAUUUAUAGAAGAAGAUGAAAUUUUAAGCAAUUUGCUUCAAUGCAAUUUUAGCAUAUUUCAGCUAGUCAUAGCAACGUCUAAUUUCGUUGAUGUAGAAGAAGCUAACACCAAAGAUUCAUCUAGGUAGAAAGAAGUAUCGAGCAUGUAACUAACCGCAGAACUCACAUCUAGGGACCCUAUUGUAAAUAUAACAGGUGAUGGACAUAAAGAUAGAUAUGAGUAAAAGAGUGGAACAUAAAAUCCAAAUUUCAAAAGUAUGAUAGUUUUUUAGUGUUUCUUUGAAUCUCGUAGGAAUUUAGGUCAUUUUCAAUCUCAUCCAUGAGACAAGGUACAAUAAUUGUUGAAGAAUAAGAGUAUUGUUGGGCAGUUCGGCGAGCUAUAUAUAAAGAGAGAGACUUCUUAACCAUAUAAAUAUUAUCCUCUAUAACUCUAAAUUUUUUUUUCCUUUAUCCAAUAUAAAAUAUCACAAUCACUUUUAUGUAUGCACUCUUUUUAAUCACGUCGCAUAAAAUUACACCAUUUUCAAAGCUAAAUAAACUCCUAUAUAGGGGUCAUAUAUUGACUUCAAUACUCUUUGAAACGACUCACACUUAAUCAUAUAAACUCAUUAUAAUAAUGUAUUUCCUAAUUUCAUGGAAUUUCAAUAAAAUAUUUAUUACUUUCAAAUGGGAAUUAGAGAGGAAUGUUGUCUAGCUAACUCAUAAUUCUUCUUUAUAAGUUCAAAUUAGGUAUUUACUUCUUCCUACCAUUACCUCAUAUUUUGAUUGUUUCUUCGUUAAUAUAUAGUUGGUUAAACUAAUAAACUAGAGGUUAGGAUGGAGAUCAAUUUAGAUUAUGUUUGUUUUGAGUUUAAUAAACCCUUACGACUUUAAAAUGUGUUUAGAUAGUUAAGAGAAACUUAUACAUAUAUAAUAUUAAAAAAAUUUCCUCAUUUAAUGUGAGAUAUUAUAAUCAUCACUCAUGUAGACAUAAUAUAUUUGUUGUAAGUCAGAAGAUUGUAAAACCAAACAAAUUUUUUCAUUGAAAUAUAAUAUUAUUUGUAAUGGUUCACUUUCUCUCAUGGAUCCCAACUCCAUUAGGUUCUUCAUGAAGCUUGUUUCAGUUUAUUAACCACCGAUGUAGCAAAGAUGAUGAUAAGUAGUAUUUUUGUUUCUCAUAUGUUUUCAGACCUCAUCAAGCUUGAGUGCCUUAUCCCAUCUCUAACGCAUGUACCAUUGCCUCCAAAAUAUGUUGCCAGAUUAUACAUAAUAUCAUAAUUAUAGCUACUGAAGUCCAACGACUACCUAGCUAGUCUUCACUCCCAAAAACAUGAUGGUCACUUCUUUGAAAUAUAACUCUUAUCCUAGUGACUCAAACUCACCACCUCAUUGACAUCCGUCAUAAGAAUUUCAGAGACUCUUCAAAGUUUGAUCCACUUUUAUAGAUGAAUAAUGUAAAAUUCUUUUAUUCAAACAAAUUUGAUGAUCAAAUAUCUUUUCUUUCCUAAAAAUUAUAUUUCCUUUUUAUAAAUCUUAUUUUAAUGACCCAAUUACAGUAUGGUAGAUAUUGUUUGUUUCGAGUCCAAUAAACCCUUAUAACUUUAAAAUAUGAUUAAAUAGUUAAGAGAAACUUAUAAAUAUAUAAAUGUGAGGUCAAAUAAAUUUUCAUAUUGAGAUAAAAGAUUAACUUUAAUACUAUUUGUAAUGGUUUACUUUCUUUCAUGUAAACAUCAUCCACUUUAUACUCAAUGAAUCAUUGAAGCUUUAAAACAUAUUUACAUGAUUAAAAGAAACUCGUACAUAUAGUAUUAGAAUUUUUUUUUUCUGACCCAUGAUUUGCAAUAUAUGUAUAAAUACGUUUUAAAGUUAUGAGGAUUUAUUAAGUUCAGAGUAAAUAGUAUUUAUAUUAAAUGGAAUGACAUGUCACAUGCAAAUAAUAUCAAACUCAAUCUCCAAUUUUUAUAUAAGAGUUUGUUUGAUUUUAUAAAAAAUGUUUGUGUGUUUCAUUCUACAAUUCUGUGAGACACAACAUCCAUUUAAUUUAUUAAAGUCUUUUUAACUAUGUAAACAUGUUUUAAGUUGUUAAGAUUGAUUGGGUAAAAACAGAAGAGGUGAUUGUGUGUUUUAUCCUACAAUUCAAUGAGGCAAUGCCUAAUUGAUUCAUUGGGGUACUUUUAAUCGUUAAUGCAUGUUUCAAUGUUGCUAAGAUUGAUUGAGUGAGGAAAAUAUCUACAUAUGAAAGGCAACAGUUAGUUACACUUCAUUAUGUUUUUUUCUAAUAUAUUGAUAUAUGUCAAUUUCAGUAGUUAUUAAUUCAACAUCGCCCAAAGUAACCAAUGCCUCGCUUUUCCAAACAAAACUUUCUCUAUUGAUAUUUCUUAAAUAUAAAAUCAUGUCAUGGUAAGCAUCCGAUGGAUACUAAGACAAUUGGAUAGAUAUCUCAGAUAUUGAAUGGACCAAAUGGGGUAACGGAUGUGGUAGUAUACAAGCGCUGUAUAUCUUUUAAUUUAGAUAUACACACACAACGUAAUGCCUAAUCCAUCCAGCCGGGGGGCCGGCCAGAGAGAUAUAAAAUACCCCCAAUCCCAUCAUUUUGUAUUUUGUAUUGGAAUUAAAAAUCCAAACCCAGAUAUUGCUAUGAUUUGGUAAAUCCCGAGAAAUUGAGAACCCAUCCUGGGGGAGGCAUGGUCCCCCUAUUCAAUGCCAACCCUAUUUUCAAAUGGUGUCUAAAGAGUUGUACAGUUAACGGUGACUUUAAAAUAAAGAAUUGCCUUAAACCUUGAUUUUAGGCCCUUCUUCAAGAAUAUGAAAAUGCAUGUUGGGCAAUGAUUUAGAUUCGAAAGUGGGUUCUGCAGACAUCACAUUUCUGCAGAGCCGAAAAUAUUUACAAGCGUAGGACGAAGCUCAGUUCAGAUGGGCCUCGAAGAUGAAUUUUUAAGCAAUUUGCUUGAUACAUUCAGCAAUUGAUAAUUUAAAAUAAAAAAAAUUAGGAAAUAGAAAGUAAAACAUAUAUGGUUAAAACUUCAAUGCAAUUUUAGCAUAUUUGAACUAGUCAUAGGAGCGUUUAAUUUCUUUGAUGAAGAAGCUGAACACCAAAGAUUCAUCCAGGUAGAAAAAUGUAUUGACCAUCUAAUUGUCUGCAGAACCUACAUCUAAGUACCCCGCUAUAAAUAUAAGAGGCAACUUAGGUGAGGGACAUAUAGACACAUACGAAUGCCAUUGUAGAAUAUAAAAUCCAAAUUUCUCAAAACUAUAAGGUUAUGUUUGAAUCCAAAAAAAUAUUAGAGGAAGUGAAAAUGUUAAGAAAAAUAAUUUUUUAUGAUUAAUUUUAUUAUAAAAAAUAUAAAAAAUAAAUAUAAUUAAAAUUAGUUAGAAUUUUACAUAUUUUUAAAUUAUAUAAUUUGAAUUUAAAUAAAUAUAUAAAAAUAAGUCAUUAAUUUUAGAUCUAUUUCUUUUUUCUUUUUUUAUAUUCUCCCACAAAAUUUCAGUAACCGAACACAACCUAAUAGUUUCCACUGUUUCUUUGAAUUUCUCAACUUCAAAAUCUCUUGUCUAUGAGACCUCAGAGUAAUUAAUUCCUACCUCUUGGUGACUAGGCCAAGCGCAUGGAUAGGCACAUUGACCCACUUGUAAUUGCCUAGGCUAAUAGGCCAAGCUCAUAGCAAUUUUCCUUUUUUAUUUUUUAAUUUCGUCGUAGGACUUGGUCUCCACAAGGCACUAUAACGUAUCCCCUAAUUUCAUUUCAUGGAACUUUAAUAAAAUAUCUAUUGCUUUCAAGUGGGAACUGGAGAGCAACGUUGCCUAGCUAACUCACAAUCCUUCUAUAUAAGUUCAAGCUAGGUAUCUUCUUCCUUCCACCACUGCCCACUGCCUUGUAUUAGGAUAUCGUUUCUUAGUUAAUAUAUAGUUGAUUAAUUUCCAUCUCCAACUACUACUAUUAUUAGAAAAAUAUGGCUCUAACUGGCAAGCUAGAGGUUGAAAUGGAGAUCAAUUCACCUGCGGAUAAAUUCUAUAACAUCUUCAGGAGGCAAGCACACCACAUUCCUAAUAUCUGCUCAGAUAAAGUACACCAAAUUGAUGUACAUGAAGGUGACUGGGAGACUCCAGGCUCCGUCAAGAACUGGGGUUAUACUCUUGGUAAGGCAACCACAACUCAAACCCCAAAACCCUAGCACUAUUAGUCUGUAAAAAAAAAUGAUUUUUUUAGUUUUUCUAUUUCAUUUAAUUGUUUUUUUGUUUGGCAUUUUCCCCUUUAGAAUAUUAAUUUAACUGCAUUAAUUCGGAGUUGAUCCCAUCAUGUGGAAGUUUAUGCUUCUGUUAUGAAUACAGCUUUGUAUGCCUUCCUUAUGUUUAAUUCAACCUAAAGCAUGUAGAAUUGAUGGUCAAAGUCUAUGGGACCCUUUUUUCAUGACCGCCAUGCAUGGGGCUUUCCCAGGUGACUGCCCGCUACUAAAGGGGCCUAAAGUUUAGGUCCCCCGAGUUAGAACUUAGAAGAGGGAUUAUGAAUGAUCAGUGAAGUUGUAAGGUUUUGAUCUUCUUAGAUAUUACCUAGAAAGAGGAUUGACUUUACUUGACUUUUACCAUAUUGAUUUAGAGAUUGGCGAUUGCUUUAAAAGGUUGUGUCAACAGAAGAAAACUUAAAAAAUAUUAAGAAAAAUAAAAAAAAUGAUUUUGUUUUUAUAAAAAAAAUCAAAUAUAAUAAAAACGAGUUGAAAUUUUAUUUAUUUUUAAAUUAACUUUUAUAUAGAAGAAUUAAAAUACGUUAAGUAAAUUUGAAUCAAAAUAUAAAAAUAAUUAAUUUCUUAAUUUUAAAUUUAUUAUUUUUCUUUUAACUUCUUUUUUGUUUUUUCAUUUUCUUUUCUUUUGUAUUUUCUUCAAAUUUUUUUAGAACCAAAUAUAGUCAUUAUGAAAAGAUGGGCCACGAAGUGACUACGCAUGUCAAUUUGCUUGAGAUUUCGCAAUCUAGUAGUUUCAAAAUACUAUGCUUAACCCCUUGUUUUGGUUUGAAAUUACUAGGAGGGACUUCUAUGAGCCUUAAAGAGACUGUGGAAUCAGUAGAUGAUGAAAACAAGUCAAUCACUUUCAAGGUUGUGGAUGGAGAGAUCAUGAACCAUUUCAAGUGCUUCAAGUCCAACUUGCAAGUAAAAGCAAAGGAUGAGGGCAGCUUGGUGAAAUGGAGUCUGGAAUAUGAGAAAGUAAAUAAGGAUGUCCCAAAUCCUGAUGCUUACCUGGAGUUCGCAGUUAAUGUUACUAAAGAUAUUGAAAGCCACUACCUCAAGGCAUGACACCAAGGCCAUGUGGUAUCCUCGGUAGUAUUACUUCAAUAACGCUGGUGUUUGUAAUUUGGUUGAGUUGUAUGCUUUACCAGGAGUGGCCUUGUGAUUGGCUGGUUUCUUUUGUAAAGGCAUUAUCAUAUAUGAUGUAAAUACUGUACCUUAAAUAAAAAGAAAAUCAGCAAAGACCCUCCUUUUUAAUGUGGAUAAUUGCUUUUAAUGUCACCUUUGUUGAUCGGUUUACAAGACAAGAGUUAACAAGUAGUCCCUAUUUAUUAAAUAUAAGAAUUUUCUGUAUCCAUUAAUCAUCAUCAGUAAGCUAAUAAAAUGGCUGAUAUUUUUCUUAAUAAAAACAGCAACAGUUACUGAGUUUAUAUAUAGGACACCAGUUGCAGAUUAGAUUUCUUUGGCUUGAUUGUGAUCUUUCUACAUGUUGGAAAAAUAUUGUCAUUUGGUAUUUAAUAUCAAAUUUUAAAAAUAAUAUUUAAGAUAUGAAGAAAAAAACAUACAAUGAUUCAUAUUUUUAACUUUAAUAUGAUUUAAAGUUCAUCGAGUAACCGUUUUGAAAUCAUUCACCCUUGAUCUUCACUUUCCUAGUCUCCCUUUACACGUUCCUUAGUGGUGAGUAUGAAAAUGAUUCCAUUGAAUUGUAAGAAUGGAAAGAGGGAUAAAAAAUUCUUCUAUUUAUAAGCAUAGAAUGAUUCUUCUUAUCAGUGAACCAUUAACUAAAUACUUUAAACAUAUUAUUAAUUAAUAAUAAUAAUAAUAAUAAUUAUUAUUAGAAAAUAAAUUUCAUAAAUAUUAUAAAUUUAAAAAAGAAUCUAAUUUAAUUCUUAAAAAAUUUAUGCAUGAAAUUUUUAUAUUAUUUUUAAUUGUUUUCUAAGGGUUAUUUUAAGAAAUUAUUAUACAAACAUAUAAAAUAAUUAAAAAUAAAACAAUAGAUAUAAAAAUUAUUUUUAAAAAUAUUAAAAAUAAAUUCAAAAUAUUUUAAGUUGCCAAACAAAUUUUUUAUUCUACAAAAAUCAGAGAUAGUUUUCAAAAUCUCUUUUAAAAAACUAUUUUUCAGAAUUAUUUUAAAAAAUAGUUACCAAACAAGCCCUAAAAGAUUUAUAUAUAUAUAUAUAUAUGAAAUUAAAAAAAUAUCAAAUAAUAAAAAUUCAAACAAUGGUAAGGGUGUCACUAAUGAUCGGUUUGGAUUUAAACUAACAUUUUUUUAUAUUGAGUAAUUUAUUUUUUAUUCUAUAUAUUAGAAAAUUGAAUUUAAAUGUAACUUUUUCAAAUAAAAUAGUUAGAUCACACUUGAUAUAUAGUAAUAAUUUUUUAAAAACUAAUGGUCAUAAUUUAAAAAAAUGAUGAAAAAAAAAUCUCAAAUAUAUUGCAUAUGAAUGUAUAUAUUUAGUUUUAUACAACAUGUUAGACAUAUAUUAGUUAUUAACUUAUUAUAAUCUACUAAAAUAUUAAUUCUAUACGAGGGGAUUAGAUUUCUCAUUGUUGAUUUUAUAACCCUCAUUGUGGGAUUAUAAAAUGUCAUUGCAAUCACUCCCAAUUUAGUCUAUGCAAAUCAAAUAUAGAAAUGCAAUUUAUCUCUGUCACAAUUUGUUACACAAUAAUGAUAAUGGAUAAUAAAUAAAUAAAUAAAUAAAAUUAAAGAACACACAUUUAUGUAUAAAACUUUAGAUGAGAAAAAUCAUGGAUAAGGAAAAUGAAUAUCCAAUAUAUCAAAAGAUUGGUAUAAAAGAUGAGAAAUAUAAACAACUAUGAUAAAAAUAUAAUCAUCAUAACCUUAAAAUUAUGUGAAAGUAAUUAACAAAGUAGGUCCAUACAUAAGGACAAAGAGCCCCCUCAAAGGUAUCAAUGGUGGGGGUGUGGGGUGUGGGAUCGGAUCAAAUUCCAACGUUAUCAAUGGUAGGCUAGGGGAUCGGAUCAAAUAGAAUUUGGAUCGCCAAACCUUAAUACAUUUUAUGCUUUUUCUUAUUGGUUUAGAUUUAUGAUAAUCUCCUCCACCAGCAAAAUAAAGUUAUACCGGAGGAUUUUCUUUGUUUUGGCUGUCACACUUUCACUUCUUUGCUAAUAGCCUAACAUCAAAUGAGAAAAUAGAGACAUUUUAAAAAUGAGAACAAAUUCUCGAGGAUUUAGUUGUCUGCCACUAGACUAUAAAAAAUGCUUUCCUGUUAUUUUACCCCCUAAAAUAAGUUUGAUACAAUGCAUCUAUUUUCUGGCUCCGACAAUGUUUAAGAAUACAUCAACCGACCUCAAACCACAUUAUUUCGGUUUGAAAAGAAGGCUUUAUUAUGUCAGUAUGGCUGCUAAGAAGACUUUUGGAAUAUAAUAAAACAAGUCCAGCGAGUUGAUGGUUUGGAAUCGAGAGAUCAUGAAUGAUUUCCCUACUUUAGAGUCAAUAAUUAAGUGGAAUGUGAGAAGGUGAAUGAGGAUGGCCCGGGAUCCAAUGCUUACUAAACUAUUGAAGAUCACCUUCCUGAGGCAUAAUUCCAUUACUUUUCAUCGACGCUGCGAUGCUAUAAAAGAAUAUUAUAAAAAUGCAAGGGUAAUGAAAUAUUGUACAGCCUUUACCGUAUUGAAGAACGUGGACUGAUUGCUAGGGUACCCAACACCCACCAUAAUUCCCACACCAACUCCCAACCAACCCGAUCACGUAGGGCCUCACAUGGCCUCAUUAUCAUUUAUGUGGAAAGAUAAUGCUAAACUAUAUACGGGAUGGCCAUUCUACCAGCCAACCUGUAAUGAUUUUGAUAAAAGUAUACUAAAAAUAGAAGGAGAAAUUAAGUUAUCAUUUGAUAACGGUUUUUAAAAAUUGUUUUUAAUAUUUUAUAAAAUAAAAUUUUAUUUAGAAAUACAAAAUAUUUUUAACUUAUUUUUAAUAUUUUAUAUGUAUAUAUAUAUAUAUAAAGAGAGAGCGCUUUAUUUUUAAUUAUUUUUCAUAUUUAUAUAAUUAUUUUUUAAAACAAUUUCAAAAAAACAAGUGAAAAUAACUAAAAAAAUAUUCUUUGAGAUAAAGAUCAAAAAACAUAAAAUAGUUUUUUUUAUUAUCAAACAUGUUUUAUGUUUUCUAAUCUGUGUUUUUUUAAUUUGUUUUUUGUUUUCAAAUCUUAAGAUCACUUAAUUUUUUAGGGUUUUUUUUAAGAAAUAAUUAUAUAAAUAUAUAAAAUAAUUAAAAAUAAAAUAUUAGACAUAAAAAUUAUUUUUAAAACAUAUUUAAAAAUAUUAAAAACAAGUUUAAAAUAUUUUAAGUUAUAAAAUAAGCUUUUUUUUUUUUACAAGAAUCAUAAAAUAAUUUUUAAAAACUAUUUUAAAAUAUUAUUUUUGAAAAUAAUUAUCAAACCCCUUAUUUUCUAUUCUCAAAAAAUGUUUUUUAAUUAUCAAAUGUGGUGUCUAUUUAAAUUUAAGAUUUUAAAUUUUAAAUUUAGUUAUUUCCAAGUUAUGAUCUCUUGAUAUUAUUUCAACCUAUUAUUUAUUUAUUUGUUUGUUUUUCACAUAAAUAAACUAAAAUUCAAUUGUAUAACCCAGUAUGAAUCACGUGGGCCCUUAGUGAGGCUGGCUACAACUAAAUCAACGUUCUUUUGAUAAUCGAUUGCCUAUGAAAGAAAUCAUCACGCCUUACACACAAUAGAAUAAAUUAAUAAGAAAGUAAGAAGAUUAGAAAGAAAAGCAUCUUAGAGGAAGGGUUUUUUUUUUUUUAACUUCUUGGUGGUGACACUGGAUGGGCUUUUGAUAAUUGUACGACGAAUUUAAAAUUAAUGUUUUAAAAUACGGUAUUAAAAAAUAUUUUCAAAUUUAUGGUACUUUUUACCACUUUGAAACAUGUUUCUUAAAAAAGCAUAUUUCAUCGUUUUUAUAUUAAUGAUACACAUUCAAAAAAAAAAAAAUUAAAGGUGUCUUUUUGAAAUAUAUUUUUCAUAAUUUUUAUAUCAAUAACACACAUUAAAAAAUUUUGAAUUUAUAUUAAAAGUGUCUCUUCAAAAAACACAUUUUAUAAUUCCAUAAAAUUAAAUUUAUAUUAAAAGUGUCUUUUAAAGAUAUACUUUUUACAAUUUUCAUAUCAGUUAUAUAGUGAAAAAAUUGAAUUUAUAUUAAACAUAUUUCUUUAAAAGACAUUUUCUACAAUUUCAUAAAAUUAAAUUUAUAUUAAAGGUAUCUCUUUCAAUAAUUUUUGUAUCAAUCAUCCAUUGAAAUAAUUGAAUUUAUACUAAAAAUAUCUUUUUAAAAGACACCAUCCAUAAUUUCAUAAAAUUAAAUUUAUAUUGAAAUGUUUCUCUUUAUACUUUUAAUAUAAAUUUAAUUUUUUUAUAGGUGAUUAAUAUAAAAAUUAUGAAAAGUAUUUAUUUAAAAAAUAUUUAUUAUAAAUUCAAUUUUAUAGAAUUAUAAAGACGUCUUCAACGUAAAUUCAAUUAUUUUUUCAAUGUGUAAUUGAUAUGAACAUUAUGAAAAAUGUCCUUCAAAAGACACUUUUAGUAUAAAUUUGAUUUUAUGGUAUUAUUAAAAGUAUAUUUCUUUAAUAUAAAUUCAAUUUUUUAACAUGUAUAACUAAUGAAAAAUUAUAAAAAAAUUAUAUUUUGAAGAGAUAUCUUUAAUAUAAAUUCAAUUUUUUAACAUGUAUAACUAAUGAAAAAUUAUAAAAAAAAUUAUAUUUUGAAGAGAUAUCUUUAAUAUAAAUUCAAUUUUAUAGAAUUAUAAAAGAUAUCUAUUGAAAAAAUACUUUUAACAUGUAUCAUUGAUAUGAAAAAUAUAGAAAAUAUCUUUUCAAAAAACACUUUUUAAAAUGGUAAAAAGUACCAUAAAUUUAUCAAAAGUUUUAUAACUAUCAUAGAAAUUUUUUUCAAAAGUUCCAUUUUUUAAUAAUUAUUUUUUUAAAUAGCCGUACAAGUUAUAUAAAAAAAAACCCGAUACUCCAUAAAAUGUGAUCAAGUAGGAUUUGCAUCAUGCAACCUCAUACAAAUAAUAAAAAGCAUAAAUCACUUGAAACUUGAAAGUGAUUGGAAUUUGGCAGACUCUAGCUAGCUAGGUUGCCAUAAAUGACAUGGGUCAGUGGCCGACACCCACCAAACCCAGCACUUAAUAAUAUAAUUAAUAUACUAUUAUUAUAGAACCAUCGUUUUCAGGAUAGGGAGCAUCAAAUUAACCUCCCCAAGUCAAACUGCACAAUUUGUUUCAUCGAAAUCGAAUAUCUAAUAAUGAAUGAUUAUGGGUGAGAUUGCAAUCCGCCAAUCCUUUGCCUAGCUCUUUGAAAAUCAAUGAUGAUGCUUAGUAUUAAUAUUUUAUUUAUCUUUUUAAUAUGAAAAUAAAAAUAUCAAAAUAAUUUUAAACUUUUUUCGUGGAGAUAAUGCUCCCCAGUUAAGCUGCUUAUAAGGUAUAAAUUAAUAAUAACCUUUUAAUUUUAAUAAAAGCAAUUUGAUACAUAUCACAUCUUAAUUCACUUGAGUAAUAACUAUUUAAGAUUGGAUUUAGGUUAACUUAGAUUAAUUAGAUUGUAUUCAGGUUAAUUAAACCAUAAUCAUAUUAUUAUCAACAAUUUCUCACAACUAUCCUAUUUUUAAUAUGAAUUAUUCCUAGUUCUCAAAUUAUUGUUUAGGUAGUUUUAUUAUCUUAAAAAACAUCUUUUUUUGUCAUUGGUUCUGCAUGGUUAUUAAAUAAGAAAAUUAUAAUUAUCUUAUCAACUAAUUUGAAGACUUUUCACAAAUUCAUACUUUAAAAACCUCUUUCUUUGUCGUGGGUCCCUACAUGGUUAUUAAAUAAUAAAAUUGUAAUAAUUUUAUCAAUUAAUUUGAAGACUUUUCACAAAUUUAUACAAUACUAGUUAUCGGAAAUGUGUCACAAAGAAGAUGCCAAGCUAAAAGCAAAUCAUGAUUCAUUAUUUUUUUUCCCAAUUGGAGCUCGAUGACCCAAUCCGAAUGCAUUAACAUCAAAAUUAGUGUUUUAUACUAUUUUCAAUGAACCUUGUCAACAUGAUCGUGAAAUGAUUUAUGAUUAUUUUCAAUAAACCUUUCAUCGAAACUAUGUGUAGAACUGCAUGAAUAAAUAAGAAAUUUUCAUAGUUACAGAUUUGCAUUAUCUCACUCUAUAUGAUUUUAUAUAGUUUUUUUUUUAAUACUUCUGCAACAUUUCUUUAGAAAAAAUAUUGUAUCAAUAAAUUCAGUAAUUUUCAUCAAUUUCAAUCUUAUAAUUAAAUGAUACUUCUGUCAUGUAUAUCACCAUACGUGUCACACUUCAUUCAAGAUCAGGUUGAUUAGUCAUGUAUACCUGCUCCAUUAAUAAAGUAUUAAGUUUUUAUUUUAUUUUAUUAAAAUAAUAAAUAAAUAAUAUAAUUUUUUUUUAUUAGAGGUAGUUAGGUAUCAUUAAAUGAUUUGUUGUCCUGCCAUGUCCCCAAUUAAUAAUUUUAUACUUUUCAUUUUUUUCAAAGGAUUUAAAAUAUAAAAUAUUAAAGAUAAAAUAUCUGAAAGUACCGCUUCCAUACCCAAUCAAAUUUUAAAUCUAAAUUAUUGACAUGUGAGUGAAAUUUGGACUAUUAAAUAAAAAGUGAAAAAAAAAUAAAAUAAUAAAUAAUUAAAAAUGUUCCUGCAAGGAGAUGUGACUAAGGUUAAAAAAGGAGGGGAUAAGGAGCGGCUAGGAAUAUGUAAACAAAAUUCAAAUAAUUAAAAAACGAAAUGAUAACUUCUCAAUGAAAUUGAAUGUUUCAGUUCUAAAAUCCAAAACAAAAACUAUAGUGAAAGAAAAAUUUGAGAAAAUAUAGCAUGGUCUUCUCUUUAAUGAUUGAUAAAUAUUUAUAUAUAAAUAAAGUUUAUUUUCCAUUAUAAUUUAGAUUAGUCGAGUCUUGUUUUCUACUCAAAUUCAAACUUCACAUUUUGUUAUAAUUUAAUCUAAUAAUAAUUGUUUUCACAAGACAAGCUGAAGUUAUCCAUUAAAAUACAACUUUUAAUUAAUAGUUUAAAAAAUAAGAUAAAUUUGAAAAUAAUUUUAAAAUUUAAUAAGUAUAUAUAUUUUUAAAUAGCAUUUUUUUUUUUAAAUUGCCAAAUCUAUGCUCAGAAAAGAUCCACAAAAGUUGAUCAACAAAAGAUACCGAACAGGAAGUAGAUGAUAAUCCAUUAUUUUCUUCUUUAUUAAAGUUUGACAACCCAAUCUGAAUUCAUUAACGUGAAAAGCAGUGUUGUAUGCUCAUUUUCAAUGAACCUUGUCAACAUGCACGUCAAAAACAAUGAUUUAUUAACUACGUACAUGUAGAAUUCCAUGGGAAAAAAAAAAAUACAAUUAAGGCCUUGGGAGAUGAAUAAAAGCUUAACCUAAAAUUCAAAAUUCUCAAAACCAUGUUUUUUCACACCAAAAUGUUUCAUCCAGCCAACCUAAGACCGAUUGAAUCCUCCCUCUAAAGCACAUUGCCCAAGAUUACAGGCAACGUAGUAAUUACCUAAGCAAGUACGUCAGAAUCAUAGCAAUUUUUACCAAAGUGGGUAUCGGGAAGGAGCUUUGCCUAAUUCAUUCUUCGACAAGGUUAUCUACUUCCUCUCGUCACUGCCUUCUGUUUGAAUCAUUUGUAGUUAGUUUUAUCAAUCCAGCUAGUGUUAUUAUCAGAAAAACAUGGCUCUAACUGCUAAAGUGGAGACUGAAACAGAGAUCAAAGCACCUGCUGAUAAGUUCUUUAAACUCUUCAGGAGCCAAGCACACCACCUUCCUAAUAUCUGCUCCGAUAAAAUACACAAAAUCGAGGUACAUGAAGGUGACUGGGAGACUCAGGGCUCCGUCAAGCAUUGGAGUUACACCAUUGGUAUGACAUGCAACUCAAACUAAGAACCCCAAAACACUAGCGUUAUAUUCUGUUAAUUAAAAUAAUUUUUGAUGUUUUUGUUUCAUUUCAUUGUUGUUUUCUUCUCCUUUCAAUUAUUCUUUUAGAAUAAUAAACGCAUGCGUCUUUGUACAUUUUUUUUCUUGCAAAUAAGUGAUCGGGUCUGGGCCGCUAGUGACUAUGAUGGUUCUUAGUAAUGUACAUGACAUCUAAUAAUAGCUUCAACAUAUUCCAAUUAUGUUUAACCUCACAUUUUGGUUUUAACUAGGUGGGAAUUCUCAGAGUAUUAAAGAGACUGUGGAAUCAAUAGAUGAAGAAAACAGGUCCAUCACGUUCAAGGUUUUGGAUGGGGAGGUGCUGAAAGAAUACAAGAGCUACAAGUUCACCGCACAAGCGAUACCAAAGGGGGAGGGCAGCUUGGUGAUAUGGACCAUCGAAUAUGAGAAGGCAAGUGAGGGUGGCCCAGAUCCCCAUAACUACCUAGAGUUUGCAGUUAAUAUCACCAAAGAUAUCGAAAGUCACCUUCUCAAUGCAUAACACCAAGGUCAUAUCUACCCUUUGCUAGUAUCUCGCUCGUAAAUAAAGUUUGGACCUUGGAAGUCCAUCUACGUACGAUCUCUAUCUUUCAAUAAACGCAAAUUCCAGGUGUGGACUUGGUGAUUAAUGCCGAGAAGAUAAACUAGGUUUGCCUUGGUUAUUUGUGCAAUAAUAUUAGUGCAUGAGUGUGAUUGAUUGUAUGCUAUCUUGUCCGGGAGUUGCUUUGUGUCUUUUGUAAUGGGAUUACUACAUGUAAUGUGAAGACUAUAUGAUGCAUGGGGAAAUAAAUUAAGUGAAAAC
rnacentral:lncRNA from 1 species